AUGCAGAUCUUCGUGAAGACCCUGACAGACAAGACCAUCACUCUUGAGGUCAAGCCCAGUGACACCAUCAAGAAUGUCAAGGACAAGAUCCAAGACAGUGAAGGCAUCCCAGUUGACCAGCAGAGGCUGGUAUUCGACGGUAAACAGCUGGAGGAUGGCUGCACCCUAUCUGACUGCUACAUCCAGAACCAGUCCACCUUGUAUCUGGAGCUGCCUCUGUGCGAUGGCAUCGUUGAGCCCUCCCUUCAUCAGCUUGCCCAGAAGUACAAAUGGGAGAAGAUGAUCUGCUGCAAGUACUACAAACCCCUGCACCCUCGUGCAGCCCAGUGCAACGAGAAGUGUGGCCAUACCUACAACCUGCGCCCCAGGAAGGUCAAAUAA
rnacentral:lncRNA from 1 species